UCUCGAAAGCCUGUCCCAGUUCGGACUGGAGUCUGCAACCCGACUCCACGAAGUUGGAUUCGCUAGUAAUCGCGCAUCAGCCAUGGCGCGGUGAAUACGUUCCCGGGCCUUGUACACACCGCCCGUCAAGCCAUGGGAGCCCGGGGGGCGCCUGAAGUCCGGGACCGCGAGGACCGGCCUAGGGCGAAACUGGUAACUGGGGCUAAGUCGUAACAAGGUAUC
rnacentral:rRNA from 1 species